rnacentral:tRNA from 1 species
GAUUCUGAGGCUCAGACGGUAAAGCGCCUGCCUACAAUGCAGGAGACUGGGGUUCAAUCCCUGGGUCA